rnacentral:rRNA from 1 species
AUUGAACGCUGGCGGCAGGCCUAACACAUGCAAGUCGAGCGGAUGAAGGGAGCUUGCUCCUGGAUUCAGCGGCGGACGGGUGAGUAAUGCCUAUGAAUCUGCCUGGUAGUGGGGGAUAACGUCCGGAAACGGGCGCUAAUACCGCAUACGUCCUGAGGUAGAAAGUGGGGGAUCUUCGGACCUCACGCUAUCAGAUGAGCCUAAGUCGGAUUAGCUAGUUGGUGGGGUAAAGGCCUACCAAGGCGACGAUCCGUAACUGGUCUGAGAGGAUGAUCAGUCAGACUGGAACAGAGACACGGUCCAGACUCCUACGGGAGGCAGCAGUGGGGAAUAUUGGACAAUGGGCGAAAGCCUGAUCCAGCCAUGCCGCGUGUGUGAAGAAGGUCUUAGGAUUGUAAAGCACUUUAAGUUGGGAGAAAGGGCAGUAAGUUAAUACCUUGCUGUUAUGACGUUACCAACAGAAUAAGCACCGGCUAACUUCGUG